CCGGCCUUAGCUCAGUUGGUAGAGCGGAAGACUGUAGUUAAACCGUCAUCUUUAGGUCUCUGGUUCGAAUCCGGAAGGCCGGA